rnacentral:rRNA from 1 species
UACGAAGGGGGCUAGCGUUGUUCGGAAUUACUGGGCGUAAAGCGCACGUAGGCGGGUUUUUAAGGCAGGGGUGAAAUCCCAGAGCUCAACUCUGGAACUGCCUUUGAUACUGGGUACCUAGAGUGUGGAAGAGGUGAGUGGAAUUCCGAGUGUAGAGGUGAAAUUCGUAGAUAUUCGGAGGAACACCAGUGGCGAAGGCGGCUCACUGGUCCACUACUGACGCUGAGGUGCGAAAGCGUGGGGAGCAAACAGG